GGAUGUUUGCAAACAAGCGAGGAGACGACUUGCGGACCAGACGGCGCGGACGUGUUCGUACCCGGAGCCUCUGCGUGGAAGAGCGCGUUCGUCGCGACCCUGCCGCUGCUGUUGGUCCUCGCGGCGCUGGCGCUGGGCGUCCUCCGGAAGCAGCGGAGAAGCCGAGAAAAGCUGAGGAAGCAGGCGGAGAAGAGACAAGGUGAGCGGGGACAGGGCGUUCUGCACGCACCUGCCCAAGUGCCAAAACCCGCCGUCAUCUAAAGGCUGUGGGUCCCGUUACGAGGGUUUAUUCCAGCGCGAGGUGUCAGGGCGGCCACCGGGGAACGGGGAUCGGUGACCCCGGUGGGGAAGGGGGAAGAUCGUUCAUAUGGACAAAAGCGGAGGUGCGGAACGGCUGCAUUUUCCACGGAGGCUAGUGCACAGAUGUCAGGGUUGACCGGCUGCUGUCGUUACGCCCUCGGAGCUUCACAUCACACUGUACAGAGGGAGCGGUGACCAGGGUCUCUGCUGCCAGCGCCACCUCGUCCAGGUUUUCAUAGCGCACAGGGAGUCGGGCGGAUGCGCAACAUCU
rnacentral:lncRNA from 10 species